CGGCCAUAUAGUGUUGAAACAUCGGUUCCUGUACGAUCACCGAAGUUAAGCAACGUCUGCUCAGUACCUAGAUUGGUGACCCCUUAAGAAAACCAGGUGUUGUAG